UACGUAGGGGGGCUAGCGUUGUCCGGAAUCAUUGGGCGUAAAGCGCGUGUAGGCGGUCCGGUAAGUCCGCUGUGAAAGUCGAGGGCUCAACCCUCGAAUGCCGGUGGAUACUGUCGCGCUAGAGUGCGGAAGGGCAAUCGGAAUUCUCGGUGUAGCGGUGAAAUGCGUAGAUAUCGAGAGGAACACCUGAGGUGAAGACGGGUUGCUGGGCCGACACUGACGCUGAGUGCGCGAAAGCCAGGGGAGCAAACGGG
rnacentral:rRNA from 1 species